GUUAAGUUAGUAAGGGCGCACGGUGGAUGCCUUGGCACUAGGAGCCGAUGAAGGACGUGACAAACGACGAAAUAGCCUCGGGGAGCUGUAAGUAAGCUUCGAUCCGGAGAUG
rnacentral:rRNA from 1 species